UGGUGUUUUCAUUCAACAAUU
rnacentral:piRNA from 1 species